UACGGGGGGAGCUAGCGUUGUUCGGAAUCACUGGGCGUAAAGCGCACGUAGGCGGAUGUGUCAGUCAGGGGUGAAAUCCCGGAGCUCAACUUCGGAACUGCCUUUGAUACAGCACGUCUUGAGUCCGAUAGAGGUGGGUGGAAUUCCUAGUGUAGAGGUGAAAUUCGUAGAUAUUAGGAAGAACACCGGUGGCGAAGGCGGCCCACUGGAUCGGUACUGACGCUGAGGUGCGAAAGCGUGGGGAGCAAACAGG
rnacentral:rRNA from 1 species